CCCUACGGGGGGCAGCAGUAGGGAAUAUUGCGCAAUGGAGGAAACUCUGACGCAGCGACGCCGCGUGCGGGAUGAAGGCCUUCGGGUUGUAAACCGCUUUCAGUAGGGAAGAAGCGAAAGUGACGGUACCUACAAAAGAAGCACCGGCUAACUAUGUGCCAGCAGCCGCGGUAAUACAUAGGGUGCAAGCGUUGUCCGGAAUUAUUGGGCGUAAAGAGCUCGUAGGUCGUUUGUCGCGUCGAUUGUGAAAAUCUGAGGCUCAACCUCAGACCUGCAGUCGAUACGGGCAAACUAGAGUGUGGUAGGGGAGACUGGAAUUCCUGGUGUAGCGGUGGAAUGCGCAGAUAUCAGGAGGAACACCAAUGGCGAAGGCAGGUCUCUGGGCCAUAACUGACACUGAGGAGCGAAAGUGCGGGGAGCGAACAGGAUUAGAUACCCUGGUAGUCCGCACCGUAAACGGUGGGCACUAGUUGUGGGAACCUUCCACGGUUUCCGCGACGCAGCAAACGCAUUAAGUGCCCCGCCUGGGGAGUACGAUCGCAAGAUUAAAACUCAAAGGAAUUGACGGA
rnacentral:rRNA from 1 species